rnacentral:lncRNA from 1 species
UGCCAUAUUACAUAGGGUUUUUAAUGUAGAAAAAAAAAUUUUAUGACAGGGAUUUGGGAGAGUUGCGCAGUAUGAAUGUAAGGAAGGAAGGAAGGAAGGAAGGAAGGAAAAGAAAGGAAAAAAGAAAGGAAGAGAAAGAAACCCUUACCUUCAGUCUUAGAAUCAAUACUGUGUAUAAGUUCCAAGGCAGAAGAGUGGUAAAGUCUAGGUAGGUGAUGGGGGUUAAGUGACUUGCACAGGGUCACACAACUAGGAAGUGUCUGAUGUCACAUUUGAACCCAGGACCUCCCAUCUCUGGGCCUGGUUCUCAAUCUAGUGAACCACCCAGCUGCCCCACCCCACCAGCAAUUAUUUUUAUCUCAAAUUCUUAUACCUCUUUAAUCUCUCCAUGCCCCAGUCCAAGAACCCACCCCAGGCAUAGGAUUCCCUUCUAUCUUUACUCUGUUAACUGCUGAGCUGCUGCUACCCCAAUCACAUUCCACACUAUGCACUCUGUGAUGAAACCACUUUAUAUUUCUGUUUUUAAACCUUUAAUUCUAUUUUAGUGUGUUCUCAAGGGUUAUCUGAUGAAAUAAACUUGGUUUUGUAACCCUUUCAGAAAGUCGCUUCCUAUCUGAGUUCAUGAGAGCAGGAAGUGUGAAGAAAUGAAAAGAACACCAGACCCCGACACCAGAUGCCAAAAUAUAUACAUCUUCUCAGUAGACAGAAGGGGGAAGAUGCUAAUAUGGGCUCUACAAAGAUCAUCUAAUUUGAUCCCCACAACAACCCUUGAGAGAGCAUUAGACACAUGCAAGAGCAAGGAACCUACUUUUUCCUCCAACGGCUCCUCUUCUUCAAGCAUCCUCUGUUCCCAGAGAGUCUAGCCCGGCAACACAUCUGGAUCCUUUCACAUAGCAAAGAUCCUACAGCUGGAUAUAUAUCCCAAGAGGUCAAAGAGAGAAAGAAAGGUUCCAUGUACACCAAGAUAUUCAUCGUAGCACUUUAUGUGGUAACAGAGAUUGUAAACAAAGUAGAUGUCCAUUGACUGGGGAAACUGUGGUAUAAGUGUAAUGGAAUGUUUUUGCACAAUAAGGAUAUGAUUAUUUCAGAGAAGGAUGAGAAGAGUUAUAUUAAAUGAUGCAAAAUAAAGUGGGCAAAACCAGAAACA